GAAAAUUACAAGCCUAAGCUCAAAACUCAAAGGACUUGGCGGCGCUUUACACCCACCUAGAGGAGCCUGUCCUAUAACCGAUAACCCCCGUUAAACCUUACCUUCUUUCGCACUCAGUCUAUAUACCGCCGUCGUCAGCUUACCCUUUGAAGGGAAUAUAAGUAAGCAUAACCGGUUUAGCCCCAGACGUCAGGUCGAGGUGUAGCAUAUAAGAAGAGAAGAGAUGGGCUACAUUUCCUAACCAGGGUCCUACGAAUAAUAUUUUGAAAUAUAUAUAUUGAAGAAGGAUUUAGCAGUAAGUAAAAAAUAGAGAGUUUUACUGAAACCGGCCCUAAAGCGCGCACACACCGCCCGUCGCUCUCUCCUAGUUUCUUACACUAUUUUAUUUAAAACUUUUAUUAACAAAGGAGAGACAAGUCGUAACAUGGUAAGUGUACUGGAAAGUGCACUUGGUUAAAC
rnacentral:rRNA from 1 species